rnacentral:rRNA from 1 species
GAUGAACGCUAGCUACAGGCUUAACACAUGCAAGUCGAGGGGUAACGAGAGGAAAGCUUGCUUGCCUUGUCGACGACCGGCGCACGGGUGAGUAACGCGUAUCCAACCUGCCCCCAACUAGGGAAUAACCUUGCGAAAGUAAGACUAAUACCCUAUAAUUUCCUCAGAUGCCAUCUGACGAGGAAUAAAGAUUUAUCGGUUGUGGAUGGGGAUGCGUCUGAUUAGCUUGUUGGCGGGGUAACGGCCCACCAAGGCAACGAUCAGUAGGGGUUCUGGGCGGAAGGUCCCCCACAUUGGAACUGAGACACGGUCCAAACUCCUACGGGAGGCAGCAGUGAGGGAUAUUGGUCAAUGGGCGGAAGCCUGAACCAGCCAAGUAGCGUGCAGGAUGACGGCCCUAUGGGUUGUAAACUGCUUUUAUACAGGAAUAAAGUUAGCCACGUGUGGUUAUUUGUAGGUACUGUAUGAAUAAGGACCGGCUAAUUCCGUGCCAGCCGCCGCGGUAA